rnacentral:lncRNA from 1 species
GAAAACAGCCGUCAUAAAGCCCCUACUCAAAAAGAAUAAGCCUAGAAGCUUCCAUACCAAACAACGUCAAAUGGCUAUUUUGAUAACUUUUCAGUCAGGUUUCAGUGCCAAUCACAGCACUGAAAGAGCUCUCAGUACGGUUUUAAAUGACACACGCCUCAAUACAGAUACAGGCAAAACGUCAAUCGUAAUGUUAGUGGACCCAAGUGCAGCAUUUGACAGCAUUAAUGACAGUAUAUAUUACUACACAGACUGGAACAUGGGGUUGGGCGCUUUAAGGUCAGGUUAUCAGGGGGCUCAGGUCAUACUUAUAAGACAGGAGCUGCUUUGUUGACACUGAAAACUAUACCCCAACAUCAACGCUAAACUAUACCCCAACAUCAACGCUAAACUAUACCCCAACAUCAACGCUAAACUAUACCCCAACAUCAACGCUAAACUAUACCCCAACAUCAACGCUAAACUAUACCCCAACAUCAACGCUAAACUAUACCCCAACAUCAACGCUAAACUAUACCCCAACAUCAACGCUAAACUAUACCCCAACAUCAACGCUAAACUAUACCCCAACAUCAACGCUAAACUAUACCCCAACAUCAACGCUAAACUAUACCCCAACAUCAACGCUAAACUAUACCCCAACAUCAACGCUAAACUAUACCCCAACAUCAACGCUAAACUAUACCCCAACAUCAACGCUAAACUAUACCCCAACAUCAACGCUAAACUAUACCCCAACAUCAACGCUAAACUAUACCCCAACAUCAACGCUAAACUAUACCCCAACAUCAACGCUAAACUAUACCCCAACAUCAACGCUAAACUAUACCCCAACAUCAACGCUAAACUAUACCCCAACAUCAACGCUAAACUAUACCCCAACAUCAACGCUAAACUAUACCCCAACAUCAACGCUAAACUAUACCCCAACAUCAACGCUAAACUAUACCCCAACAUCAACGCUAAACUAUACCCCAACAUCAACGCUAAACUAUACCCCAACAUCAACGCUAAACUAUACCCCAACAUCAACGCUAAACUAUACCCCAACAUCAACGCUAAACUAUACCCCAACAUCAACGCUAAACUAUACCCCAACAUCAACGCUAAACUAUACCCCAACAUCAACGCUAAACUAUACCCCAACAUCAACGCUAAACUAUACCCCAACAUCAACGCUAAACUAUACCCCAA